UCUCCGUUGGUGAACCAGCGGAGGGAUCAUUACCGAAGUUACCUUCAAAACCCACUGUGAACCUUACCUCUUGCCGCGUUGUCUCGGCGGGAGGCGGUGUGCGUCGUGCGCCCUAGCGGGCCGCGCCGCUCCCGUCCCCGCCGGCAGCGCCAAACUCUAAAUGCACAGCGGACUGUACGUUCUGAUUUACAAAAAAAACAAGUUAAAACUUUCAACAACGGAUCUCUUGGUUCUG
rnacentral:misc_RNA from 1 species